rnacentral:rRNA from 1 species
UACGGAGGGUGCAAGCGUUAUCCGGAUUUACUGGGUUUAAAGGGUGCGCAGGCGGAUAUGUAAGUCAGUGGUGAAAUCUCUAGGCUUAACCUGGAAAUUGCCGUUGAUACUAUAUAUCUUGAAUGCUGUGGAGGUAAGCGGAAUAUGUCAUGUAGCGGUGAAAUGCUUAGAUAUGACAUAGAACACCUAUUGCGAAGGCAGCUUACUUCGCAGAUAUUGACGCUCAUGCACGAAAGCGUGGGGAUCAAACAGG